rnacentral:precursor_RNA from 1 species
UGUGGGGUUCGGUGGCCGGUGUCGGUUGCCUGUGAGCCAGCCCCCGCCCCCUCACUGC